rnacentral:tRNA from 1 species
GGGGAUGUAGCUCAGUGGGAGAGCACACGACUGAAGCUCGUGCCGCGGGGGUUCGAUUCCCUCCUUCCCCA